GCGUGGUCCACAACGCUGUGUGCCUGGUCGCUGAGAGGCAGUGUCGGUGCAGCAGGUUUUGCAUAAGGAGCUCUGGUCUGAAGCGUGGGGUGCGAGGCUUCUGCACGGGAUACCCUAUGAACAAGUGAAGCUAGACAAGCCAAGGAUAAGGAACAAAAAGUUUGUCUCCAUUUCAAGUGCACGUGUGGCUGGUGAUCAACAUGUUGGACAGCCUGGGUCUGGAGAGCUGCAGAAGGAACGGGAGGACUACCCAGGGCAUCGAAACUGGAAUGAAGGCACGGCAGCAACUUUAAAUGAUUCAUUAACUGCUGGCAGCAAUAUAAAGCUCAAUCUGACAAGAGGACAAGUCAACAAAGGAACUGCCAACUCUGAGAAGUUUUAAGACUGUACUCCUGGUGUUUUGCGAAUGUGGGCAGGGCAGCAGACAGAGCUGCUCCCAUCUACUAAAAGUGAAACCUGAAAACUCCCUCCCACAUCAACUCCUACCAGCCCUCUACAGUGAAAUCAGGACACCCCCACAAUAGCCCCAAGUUCGCCAAGACUCCUGCAGGAACCUAGAUAUUGAAGAUUGGGUCUUCUAACUCAGAACGUGUCUGACAGCCCACACAUGUUAAAGAGAAAUACAGGCAUCCAUCACAGACGCACCAGCCAACUUCUGAAUGAAUUAAAUUUUAAAAAGCAUUUGGUCAUCAAAAGUGAUAAGAAAGCAAU